CCGGGUGUCGCCCAGUUGGUAGGGCGCCUGCUUUGGGAGCAGGAUGCCGCAGGUUCGAAUCCUGUCACUCGGACCA
rnacentral:tRNA from 1 species